rnacentral:ncRNA from 1 species
CGAAGUUUCCCUCAGGAUAGCUGGUGCGUUUAAAAAUUAUGUAAAAUAAUCUUAUCUAGUAAAGGGAAUGAUUAGAGGCUUUAGGGUAGAAACGCGUGAUCUUAACCUAUUCUCAGACUUUAAAUGGGUAAUAACUACCUCACCUUUCUUGGUAUGAAAGUUAUGGUUGUAAAAAAAAAAAUAUGGUUGCGGCCCUGGGGGCCACUUUUGCUCAGCAGAACUGGCGCUGUGGAAUAAAUCAAACGUACAGUUACGGUGCCUUUACUAACGAACAUACAAAUAACAUCUUGUACUUAGGUGAAGACAUGUUGAGAGCAUUACUGAGAAGACAAUGUUAUGUCAAACGCAAGGUUCACUCACCUACGUAAUAACGUUUGAGUUG